rnacentral:misc_RNA from 1 species
GAAAUGCGAUAAGUAAUGUGAAUUGCAGAAUUCAGUGAAUCAUCGAAUCUUUGAACGCAUCUUGCGCUCCUUGGUAUUCCGAGGAGCAUGCCUGUUUGAGUGUCAUGAAAACCCUCAACCCUAGAUUGGUUAAUACCUUUCUUUGGUUUGGAUUUGGACGUUUGCCGAUGAUAAGUCGGCUCGUCUUAAAAGUAAUAGCUGGAUCUGUCUCGCGACAUGGUUUGACUUGGCGUAAUAAGUAUUUCGCUAAGGACAUCUUCGGAUGGCCGCGUUGCAGGACUAAAGACCGCUUUCUAAUCCAUUGAUCUUCGGAUUAAUACUCUUGACAUCUGGCCUCAAAUCAGGUAGGACUACCCGCUGAACUUAAGC